GGGCCGGGGAUACCAGGGUUACUAGGGAAACCGGACGCUCCCUUCCAGGUUUUUGAUUUGUUUUGUUGGUUAAUCUAUCUACCUAUAUUGGCCUGAACGCACCAGGGUUGCCAACUCUGGUUGGAGACAAAAUAAAAGGAAAAUAUUGUAGAUGCAGGAAAUCUGAAAUAAAAGCAGAAAAUGCCGGAAAAUCUCAACAGGCCUGGCAUAUCUGAACUUCAGAAGAAGAGCCUUAUUGGACUACUUAACAGUUAGCAGCAGGAGUCGGCCACUCGGCCCUGUGAGCCUGCUCCGUCAUUCAAUAAUCUGACUGUAACCUCCAGCCUGCCCCAGGGCGCAGCUAGCGUUCACCGGACAAAGCGAACCUGAUAACCGAAAACAUAAAACUGGCGAUGAGGAUAAACCGAAUCAAUUGACGGUAAUGAAGAAAUCCGCGCGUACCAUGGAAAAUCUGCUUCAGGGACUGCCCCAUGUCAUUUAUCUGGAUGAUGUCUUAGUCACUGGACAAACUGACGAGGAACACUGAACUAAUUUG